rnacentral:rRNA from 1 species
UACGGAGGGUGCAAGCGUUGUCCGGAUUUAUUGGGUUUAAAGGGUGCGUAGGUGGCGUUUUUAAGUCUGGUUUGAAAGCUGGUCGCUCAACGAUCAGAUGUGGCUGGAAACUGGGGGCGCUUGAAUGGGGUUGGCGGUAGCCGGAACGGGGUCAUGUAGCGGUGAAAAUGCAUAGAUAUGACCCAGAACACCGAUUCGAAGGCAGGCUACUACGACUGAUUGACACUGAGGCACGAGAGCAUGGGGUAGCGAACAGG